CCUACGUGAGACAGCAGUGAGGAAUAUUGGUCAAUGGGCGCGCGCCUGAACCAGCCAAGUAGCGUGAAGGAUGACUGCCCUACGGGUUGUAAACUUCUUUUAUAAAGGAAUAAAGUGAGGCACGUGUGCCUUUUUGUAUGUACUUUAUGAAUAAGGAUCGGCUAACUCCGUGCCAGCAGCCGCGGUAAUACGGAGGAUCCGAGCGUUAUACGGAUUUAUUGGGUUUAAAGGGAGCGUAGAUGGGUUGUUAAGUCAGUUGUGAAAGUUUGCGGCUCAACCGUAAAAUUGCAAUUGAUACUGGCAGUCUUGAGUACAGUUGAGGUAGGCGGAAUUCGUGGUGUAGCGGUGAAAUGCUUAGAUAUCACGAAGAACUCCGAUUGCGAAGGCAGCUUACUAAACUGCCACUGACAUUGAUGCUCGAAAGUGUGGGUAUCAAACAGGAUUAGAUACCCCGGUAGUC
rnacentral:rRNA from 1 species